AUGAACGCUGGCGGCGUGCCUCAUACAUGCAAGUCGAGCGAAUAGACGAGGAGCUUGCUCCUCUGACGUUAGCGGCGGACGGGUGAGUAACACGUGGAUAACCUACCUAUAAGACUGGGAUAACUUCGGGAAACCGGAGCUAAUACCGGAUAAUAUAUUGAACCGCAUGGUUCAAUAGUGAAAGACGGUUUUGCUGUCACUUAUAGAUGGAUCCGCGCCGCAUUAGCUAGUUGGUAAGGUAACGGCUUACCAAGGCAACGAUGCGUAGCCGACCUGAGAGGGUGAUAGGCCACACGGGAACUGAGACACGGUCCAGACUCCUAAGGGAGGCAGCAGUAGGGAAUCUUCCGCAAUGGGCGAAAGCCUGACGGAGCAACGCCGCGUGAGUGAUGAAGGUCUUCGGAUCGUAAAACUCUGUUAUUAGGGAAGAACAAAUGUGUAAGUAACUAUGCACGUCUUGACGGUACCUAAUCAGAAAGCCACGGCUAACUACGUG
rnacentral:rRNA from 1 species